rnacentral:lncRNA from 1 species
CCCCAUCAAUCAAAUGUGGAAUUAGACCACCUACUUGACCCAUCUCUUUGGCCCUAUCAAUCAGUAUUGUCAACAUAUCUGCUACUAUGUUAAACAACACUGGAGACAUUGAAUCACCCUGUCUUAACCCCUUAUGUGUUUGAAAGUAGUGACCAAUGUCGGCAUUGACCUUCACUCCUACACUACCUUUAUGGAUGAAAGUAUCGACCUGAUUUCUCCAUCUUUCAUUGAAUCCUUUCAUCC